GUUCGUUGUGAUGUAAGAUGUUAGGAACUCAAACUGAUUCGCCUCCAACAAUACGGCAUAGCUGCAGUCACUGAAGUUCCAGAUGCUCGAGCUGUUGAAAUUGGAAUCAAACCAGACCUCAUAGUAUGUGAGGUCCUUGGGAAUGGAGGUUUGGCAGCAGCCGAUGCCGGAGCAUGAGCUGUUGACCAAGCUCGCCUCGUUGUGACACACAGACACGCAACCGCUCUGGUAGCUGUCGGCACUUUGGAAAUCUCCGAUGUAGGCGAGGGUCUCGCAGCCGAUUACAGUGAACCUGUUGUGGACGUCGGAGAAUCUGUAUGGUGUGCCUACCAAAUUCAGAGACCAGAAGUUGUAGUCCAAAGAAUUGUUGCUAACGUUGUAACACUGCCACGAUAUUUCAUUGAGCAUGCGUGCCUGGCCUAGUGGCAAUGAGAUAUUGGUGAUCUCGACGUUGGAAAAAAAAAGUUUCUCGAGGCCAUCAUCCGUUGUGUUGCAAUCUAGUGAGAAGCCUUCCAUCGCACAGUUAUGACCGAUGCCAAAAGGGUAGGGGACGUCAACCUCGCCGCAUCUCGUUCGGCAGCCAGGCGGUGCAGCUGCUGCAGAUGCCGCUGCACCCACUAGCGGCAGCAUCAACAGCUGGAACAAGCGAUACCCUAACAGCACACCCAUCUCUCGAUUUGCACAUUAUCAGAGAGGUACUCUCAGAUAAAAGCUUGGACAAAUGAUCUGUUAUGGAAACACCAAAGCCUAAAAUGAAGCUUCCUCUUGGCUGAACGAUGACGUCCAAGAAAGCUGACCUUUUCCCAGUCAAUCAUUUGAAGCAAAAAUUGAUUAUUUGAUUGCAUCACUGUCUAAUUUUUCUGCAAAAAAAAAAAAAAAUUGAUUCAAAACUUGGAUCCACAAGGAUGAACUUUGAUUAUGUCAACAGGCAGCCUUAUGUGACCACACACCCAUCUUUCCCUUUGAUCGGCGCCACAUGCUGCAAAGUUGGGAACGCAAAACAACAUCUGACUUUUAAUAGGAUGUUUCGAUCCUUCAGAACAAUAGAAGUACAAGGAAAGAAAACUCAAUGAACUGCUAUCGACCAUCCUCGUCAAGUGGAUUUUCAUGGACCUGUUCAAUCUUUAAUGGUACAAGAAGAACUAGCGGUUGGUGGAUCCGCGGAUGACACCGGCUGAGAUGGAGAUGGUGUAAGCGACUUAUCACACCAAUUCAUGAUUGUUUAAUGUUAGCUUCUUUCUCAAUUAAUUCUUCUUUGUGAAAGCAGAACACAAAAAAAGAAGAAGAAGACAUGAAUAAGAAAUGACGUUCUCUGUCUGCUCAGAGAGACGUCGCAAUUGGUGGUGUUGACUAGUCUACCUAAACUAGCGAUUAAAACGUGAUGGUUGACAUGGCUCACCUUGGCACCCUCGUCGUCUUCCUGUCUGCGAUAGGGCGGCGUACAAUCUUGUAGGCGCCUCUCCAUAAGCCCAUCCACGACUCCGGGGAAGAACCGGCGACGUCGCCCAAAAUGGGUCGACCAUAGCUGCGUGGAGGGAGCCGGCGGAGGCGGCUAAAGAUUCCUCCGCUACCUGCUGCCUUCGUUGCUCGUGAAAAGCGGCGGUUAUCGUGAUCGGCGGAGAGAACGCCCCCAUGUCUGCGCUCUCUUGGGAGGAAGGAGUUCUCUCAGAUCCCCAAAGGAACGGACACGUACGAGCACCACAACACAACAAUUGAGGGGGGCGAUCUCGUCAUUGCACGACAAACAGCAUUUACUUACUUUAUAUACUGAUGACCAUCUCUUUUCUGUAAUGUGAUUAUUUCGGAGGAUUGAGAGUAGCCUUAUGCGCACAAACGACUUAUGACAGAUUAAUUAUAUAUUACCUCGUAUACAUACUUACAUUAUAUUAAUAUAAUAAUAUUAUAUUUAAAAAAUUAUAUUAAUUAUUUUUAUAAUUUUAAAAAUAAAAUAAAUAAUCUUAUUUAUCCUAACGUUAUCAAUUAUAUUGAUAAAAAAUAUAACAUGUGACACACGUAUCGAAUCGAUACAAAAAUGAUGGAUAAAAAUAUAUUAUAUUUUUUAUUAAUAUCUGAUGACAUAAAUAAAGUUAUUUAUUUUAUUUUUAAAAUUAUAAAAAAAAAUAAUAUAAUUUUUUAAAAUAUAAAGAUCAUGAUAUUAAUAAGGUAGGUAAUAUAUAAUUAGCCCACUUAUUACGGGAGAAUAUAGGUCGAGGAAAAGACUGUGGUCCGAUCUGCAAAUUGAAUUUGUACAGAUCUCAGAUUCCUAUAGUUACUGAUACAUAUUCUUUCUACAUAGCUCAGAACAUAAUCCAGUAGGAAAUGGCAAACAGACAUUUACAACCAUAUAUUGCCGAUCAAUUUAAGAUUGCUUCAAGAAACUAUAAAAACAAGGGAGUUGAUGUGUUUGGGAAUAAAUUUAACGCCAAUCUUUUCGCUGAAUUAUAGCAAGUAAUGGUAUCAAUUCCACGCUCACCUGAUGGUUCACCGAGCAAGCUCUCUAUCUCCUCAGCAUUUCGUGGCACCCACGGGUGCUGCUUUAAUUCUUUUAACCUGUCAAGCUCUUCCGCCACUUCCUUCAUCGUAGGCCUUUCUUCUCCCCUAUAGUUCAGGCGUUGCCCUGUGAGCCCCCUAAUUCUUUGAAUCAGUUCUAUAUCCUCUUCAUUUCUCACUUGAUCAUCCAAGAUCGCAAGUACCUGUCUCUCAUAAAUUCAGGCCAAUUAACAUCAUGAAAAGAAAUAAAAACUAUGAUUUUUAUGCACAUUGUAACAAUAAGACAAGCAUGGACAUAUUUAUGCUCUGCAUUUCUGCUGCUAUUAUCCUUGAUGCUUUUUUUUUUGUUCUUUUUCUUUUGCAGUUUCUCCAUUGAAUGCCGUGAAAGGAUUAUUUUUAAUUACAUAACUAGAAUAAAUGCAGUCAAUACGAGAACUGUGGAUAACUCAUCAUAUUAAAUAUGAUAUUAAAGAAUACUAUUUCCCUCUACUUUUAGUAGGUAUAAAUACACAAGUUGGACUUCCCCGAGGGAGAAGAAGCAAAGCCGUCUUGCUUUCUCGUUCACAGUGAUGCCAAAGGUCUGAACUCAUGACUGAAGUUGGAAAAAAUACGAGGAUAAAGGACCUUCAAGAAGACUUUGUUAAUCACAAAAGUUCUUCAAGGUUCUACAACCGAAGUCGGUUCUACCUAGGCCGAUAAAAGCAAUACCGGCAAUUCGGAAUUUAACAUAUUAUUGAUCUUUCACAAGUAAAUACACUUUCUUGAGUGGAUCAAAAAAUCAUCAGCUACUUAGAGAUGAUCCAAGACAACAAGAAGAUAAGAUUGAACCAGGCAUUAGUCCUCCCUAUAAUAUACACCUAGUCUAUAGUGCAGACAGGUGAAAGGAUUUGAAGCAAUAAAUAAAAUUCAUGAAAAGAAAGGGAACAAAAGAAUUUAUUUGUAAUACUUGGCAUCAAAUGUGUUUGGAGAUCCUCGACAAAGACGAAAGUCAUGGUGGAAAAAAGACUCUUACCUAUAGCCACCUUCGCUGAUGAUUGAAGGUUCUGCUGUUGAGUGCAUGGUCCAUUGAAACAAUCACCAUAUGUUCCUCACAGGCAGAAACAAUUGUAGCUACCGGGCAGGUUCUGGCAGAUGCCAUUGCAUGGAUAUUGAUAUUUAUCAGAGCAUUCAUCGAUGUCUGCAAUUAAACCAUAUUCGGCGGUAUCAGAAACAAAAUCAUGAAAACUGAAAAGGAAAGCAGAUCCCAGAAAGAGAAGAGACUGGUACAGGUAACAGACCUUGGCAGCCAUGAGCGACAUAAGGAUUGCCAUGGUAGCCACUCGAACAGUUACACCGAUACCCAGGACCAUUGGAAGAAUUCAAACACUCGCGGUGCUCACUGAUGCAGGUGUAGGAGGUUCUGUUGCGCUUUGCUAUCUCGUUUCCGAUCGCCCAAUCCACCACCAAAGGCGCCUUGCUAAUGCUGUCGUUCAAGAAUCGGUCCGUUGUGAUGUAAAUGUUAGGAAUUCAAACCGAUUGGCCUCCAACAAUACGGCAUAGCUGCAGCAACUGAAGUUCCAGAUGCUCGAGCUGCUGAAAUUUGAAUCAAACCAGACCUCAUAGUAUGCGAGGUCCUUGGGGAUGGAGGUUUGGCAGCAGCCGAUGCCGGAGCAUGAGCUGUUGACCAAACUCACCUCGUUGUGACACA
rnacentral:lncRNA from 1 species